rnacentral:lncRNA from 1 species
UUAUCAAAUUAUAUUGCACACAUAAUCAUGGCUUUGAAUUCCCCCUAGCUAAGGGGGGUUUAGUUCCUCAUACUUACAAAGCAAAGAUAAACAAAUUUAGACAUUGAAAACAAAAGAAAGAAAACACCUAAAAACGCUCCAACAAUCCAAUUUGAAUGGCAAGCACGUCCAAGGGUCCUCCUUCUUCUCUUUGUUGCGGCACAAGGUGUGGUUUGAUGGAUGAGUGGUAAAAUAUGGUGGUGGAUGGAUAUGCACAGCUAAGAGAUGAAAGUGUAUGGAUUGGUGAGAUGUAGUAUGGCUAGAUGAAUGGAUGGAGGUCACAGCAAGGAAAUUGUGUUUGUGAAUGAAGUUGUGAGAUGUGAAAUGUAGUGUCUUUGGAUGAUGGCCCCUUGAAUGUGUCUUUGGAUGGAUAUAUUUAUAGGCUAGGGAGAGGAUGUAGUGGGUGGUGGUAAUGAGUGGAUGUAGUGGUAGGUGAAUGUGUUGGGUGGUUGAAAUGAGUGGAUGUGUUAGGUGAAAUGAGUGGAUGUAGUGGUAGGUGAAUGGAUGUGUGGUUGUAAUGAGUGGAUGUGUUGGGUGAAAUGAGUGGAUGUAGUGGUAGGUGAAUGUGUUGGGUGGUUGUAAUGAGUGGAUGUGUUGGGUGAAAUGAGUGGAUGUGUUAGGUGAAAUGAGUGGAUGUAGUGGUAGGUGAAUGGAUGAUUUGGGUGAAAUGAGUGGAUGUAGUGGUUGGUGAAUGUGUUGGGUGGUUAUAAUGAGUGGAUGUGUUGGGUGAAAUGAGUGUCCUAAAAUGGUUAUUUAUAGGGAGAGGAUGAUGCACAAACUUCAAAUUUCAUCCAUUCCUUUUGCUCCAAGCAUAUGUUAUCCAUUUCAUGCCAAAAAAUGCUCCAAAAUGCACUUCUUUGCCACAUUAAUCCUUUGGACCUGCAAACACACGAAAAUAGCUUAAAAUACUAAAAUAACUACGAACUAACAA